rnacentral:rRNA from 1 species
AGGACGAACGCUGGCGGCGUGCUUAACACAUGCAAGUCGAACGGUGAAGCCUUUCGGGAUGGACCAGUGGCGAACGGGUGAGUAACACGUGGGCAAUCUGCCCUGCAUUCUGGGACAAGCCUUGGAAACGAGGUCUAAUACCGGAUACGACGCAUCCCCGCAUGGGGUGUGCGUGGAAAGCUCCGGCGAUGCAGGAUGAGCCCGCGGUCUAUCAGCUUGUUGGUGGGUGAUGGCCUACCAAGGCGACGACGGGUA